GGAUCUAACUUCUUUUCUCUUUCUGAUUUAACCGUUAAUGUCCUUCUUUGAUAUAGUCUCGCCACCUCUCUUGCUGCCUUGACGAAAUUUUAGCAGGUACUCGUCUUUGACUUGGGUAUGGAUUUUUUGAAUUUUAAUAGCACUGAAAGGUGGAAUGAAUUUUAUGAAAAUUCAUAGCUGAUUGAGUUAUUUGGUCAGGUGAUGGUUGGUAUUUCUUCC
rnacentral:lncRNA from 1 species